CCUACGGGUGGCUGCAGUAGGGAAUAUUGCUCAAUGGGGGAAACCCUGAAGCAGCAACGCCGCGUGGAGGAUGAAGGUUUUCGGAUUGUAAACUCCUUUUUUUAGAGAAGAUAAUGACGGUAUCCAACGAAUAAGCACCGGCUAACUCCGUGCCAGCAGCCGCGGUAAUACGGAGGCUGCAAGCGUUACUCGGAAUCACUGGGCGUAAAGAGCGCGUAGGCGGGAUAGCAAGUCAGAUGUGAAAUGCUAUGGGUUAACCAUAGAACUGCAUUUGAAACUGUUAGUCUAGAGUAUGGGAGAGGUAGGUGGAAUGCUUGGUGUAGGGGUAAAAUCCGUAGAGAUCGAGAGGAAUACUCAUUGCGAAGGCGGCCUGCUAGCACCUAACUGACGCUGAUGCGCGAAAGCGUGGGGAGCGAACAGGAUUAGAUACCCGAGUAGUC
rnacentral:rRNA from 1 species